rnacentral:lncRNA from 1 species
CGCCCUUGUAUCCCAUUUCACUCUCAGAUGCUCUCUAACCCCUUUCACUCUCAGAUGCUCUCUAACCCUACAUAUCCUUAGAACCUUCUGGUUCUCACAUGGCCUCCAUCGCCACAUCAACUCACUCCUACCUCACUCCUCUCGAUUGCUAACAACCAUGGCGUCCCUGUAUCGUGGUUUUCUCUCAGGCUUGAAGACUAGAAGAUUCCGCCGUGGAAUAAGGUCACUGAAGCUCUCUUUCGGGGCCUGUUUCCGGUGUUUUUCUGAUGAUCCUUGAACGAGGAUGCCUUCUACGACAUUGUAUACGAGUUUCAUAGCCAGGUUCUUCGUUUCCAUAAUCUGUUUAAAAACCGCAAUUUUAUCUCUUUAAUCUCUCCUCUAUUAAACAACUUUCAGUUUGAUUUCUUGGUUUUCUACUCUAUAUCUACUUAGUUUCUCCGAG